UACGUAGGGGGCAAGCGUUGUCCGGAAUCAUUGGGCGUAAAGAGCGUGUAGGCGGCUCGGUAAGUCCGCUGUGAAAGUCCAGGGCUCAACCCUGGAAUGCCGGUGGAAACUGUCGAGCUAGAGUCCGGAAGAGGCGAGUGGAAUUCCUGGUGUAGCGGUGAAAUGCGCAGAGAUCCGGAAGAACACCGGUGGCGAAGGCGGCCCGCUGGGCUGUUGCUGACGCUGAGGCGCGACAGCGUGGGGAGCAAACAGG
rnacentral:rRNA from 1 species